CUUUUCAAACUCAAGGUGGAGAAUUUUAAAAUUUUGAGUGUAGCCUUUAUAUAUGUUGAUUGAUCCCGCACCACACAGUGAACACCUCUUGCCUCUUGUCCUCUCUCGCCGUAUUCACUCAAUCUCUCAAAUUCUCUCCCCCUUGUCGUCAUCCCCAAUCCCAGCUAGGCGUCUCUUGUUGCAGUGCUUUCACACAAAGGAAGAAGGAAGAGAAGAAGAUGAUGAUGGUUGCUGUAAUGGCGGAGCUCUUGGGGGAGUAUACUGCGGCGCUUACAAGGAUGACGGAAUGGCUUCUACCACCAAGGCGUAGCAUGCAUUUUCAUGGUCUCAGGAAUCUUCGUCUGAGUUCUCCAACUUCGACCCAAGACUCGUCCUCAUUCAUUCUUUAUUUUUAGCUGCUGAUCAGUUAGUUUUAGUUAGGUCACCACCUUCUUCAUACAUAUAUCUUUUUCCUUUUUUUGCAAAACAAUAUUGAUGCAGCUUUCUUGAAUGUUGUUUAAUUAGGAGAUACUUCUGGGGAGGCUUUAGAUUUGGGGUUUAAUAUGAGUACUGGCUAGAAUUCCUCAGAUUUCAGUUAAAUUAUUAUGUCAGGUUCAUUCUUUACUUCAGAAAAGUAAUAAUGCAAUGUUUGAAUGAA